rnacentral:rRNA from 2 species
UACAGAGGUCUCAAGCGUUGUUCGGAUUCAUUGGGCGUAAAGGGUGCGUAGGUGGCGCUGUAAGUCAGGUGUGAAAUUUCGGAGCUUAACUCCGAAACUGCAUUUGAUACUGCGGUGCUUGAGGACUGGAGAGGAGAUUGGAAUUCACGGUGUAGCAGUGAAAUGCGUAGAUAUCGUGAGGAAGACCAGUGGCGAAGGCGGAUCUCUGGACAGUUCCUGACACUGAGGCACGAAGGCCAGGGGAGCAAACGGG